rnacentral:rRNA from 1 species
AGGACGAACGCUGGCGGCGUGCUUAACACAUGCAAGUGGAGCGACGAACCAGGGCUUGCCCUGGGGCAGAGCCGCGAACGGGUGAGUAACACGUGGGUUACCUGCCUUGAUGACUGGGACAACCCGGGGAAACUCGGGCUAAUACCGGAUGUGCCCGCAAGGGGAAAGGAAGCUUCGGCCUCCGCAUCAAGAUGGGCCCGCGGCCCAUUAGCUUGUUGGUGAGGUAACGGCUCACCAAGGCUUCGAUGGGUAGCUGGUCUGAGAGGACGAUCAGCCACACUGGGACUGAGACACGGCCCAGACUCCUACGGGAGGCAGCAGUGGGGAAUCUUGCGCAAUGCGCGAAAGCGUGACGCAGCAACGCCGCGUGGGGGAAGAAGGCUUUCGGGUUGUAAACCCCUUUCAGUUGGGACGAAGCUUCUUCGGUGAAUAGCCGAACGGAGUGACGGUACCUUCACAAGAAGCACCGGCUAACUACGUGCCAGCAGCCGCGGU